CUUCGAUGAGUGAGUUCUUGUCUCUCCUUUGACUGAUUCGUACUAACCCUUACUUCUUCCACUUUACUGUUAUCAAACAUCUAUUCUCUUCAUGCUAUUAAGCAUCAUUUGCAAACUGAUAGUUCAGGUCCUGAGAGUAAUUAUUCAUGUUAUGCUUUGUAUUUUAUUGUUUGACAUAUUUUGUACUCCAAUCAAGCAAUCUGAUUAUAUAUUUGUUGUUGUUGAUUCUGUCUUAACACGUUCCUUUUGUGCUAAAAUGAAUUGUUCAUUUGAGUAUUGAGGUGGGAGGCUUUGGAAGGGGAUGUUUCUGAUAGGAUCUUGCAAGCGGUCUGAGACUUGCUUAAGCAAAGAAGUACUCUAAAAUCUGAGCCUAAUGUGGUUGAUGUGCAAGAUGGAACCCAAGAAGGUGCUUUUCAAUGGGUUUGUCUAUGUUGCACCUUUCUGCCAUACAAAAGGAACAGUUCGAGUCUGCUGAUGCACUGCUCUUUACUCAAGAAAAAUAUGACCAUGAUGCUUCAUUUAUAUCAGAUAACUACAGAAUUAAUGUAGAAGGGAUCUGUCGAUUAACAAUCUCCUAAAUUUUCAUCUUAUAACAACAAAGCUGGGAGAUCUGUUGGCACUUGGAGGGAGAGCAAAUAAUGAUAUCUUUACUAGAGAGACUUCCUUCAUUGAAAUAAAUUAUAUUUGAUAUGGAUGUUUUCUUAGCUCCAGGCCUUGAUGGUUGUAGAUGAUACUUAUUUUCAGAGCUAUUGGUUAUUGGUACUAAUGGUACAUAGUUGGUAAUGAUGUCUUCGACUCUAUCUCUGAAUUUUUUAGAUUUGGAUGAAUUUUAUAGACUAAUCACAAUUGAAAUAUUGUGGUCCUUAUUUUGGAGGAAACUUGGCUUUUAAAAUUGACAUCAUGAAGGCUUUUGAUA